rnacentral:tmRNA from 1 species
GGGGGUGAACGGUCUCGACUUUGGAUGUUGAGGCAGGGGAAGCGGGCCGAGGAAGCUGGGAUGAUCUCGUUAACCAAAAACUCAGCAAACAAAAUAAACGGCAGUAAGAACACUGCUGGUCUUGCCCUAGCUGCAUAAGUUAGCCCCAAGACCCGUUAGUCCGAACAUGCUCUUGGUUCGGUAACUAGCGUCGACUAAAGAGCUCCUCCGUUAACAAUGUUGCAGGUGUUAAUGGGAAAUUAACUGCAAAUGAGUUUGUCGAAGACUGGUGUGUAUGAGCUUCGGAACUGAGAAAACGUUAAACACACUACGCCCGUAGAAGCCCUGUUUUAGUACCAGAGGACCCGGGUUCAAUUCCCGGCACCUCCACUU